CCUACGGGGGGCUGCAGUGGGGAAUAUUGGACAAUGGGGGGAACCCUGAUCCAGCCAUGCCGCGUGCGUGAAGAAGGCCCUCGGGUUGUAAAGCACUUUCAGUGAGGAAGAACGCCUGGUGGUUAAUACCCAUCAGGAAAGACAUCACUCACAGAAGAAGCACCGGCUAACUCCGUGCCAGCAGCCGCGGUAAUACGGAGGGUGCGAGCGUUAAUCGGAAUUACUAGGCGUAAAGCGCGCGUAGGUGGCUUGAUAAGCCGGUUGUGAAAGCCCCGGGCUCAACCUGGGAAUGGCAUCCGGAACUGUCAAGCUAGAGUGCAGGAGAGGAAGGUAGAAUUCCCGGUGUAGCGGUGAAAUGCGUAGAGAUCGGGAGGAAUACCAGUGGCGAAGGCGGCCUUCUGGACUGACACUGACACUGAGGUGCGAAAGCGUGGGUAGCAAACAGGAUUAGAUACCCGUGUAGUC
rnacentral:rRNA from 1 species